UCAGAGUCUGAGGCAGGCUGUACAACUAAGCAGGAGUCCUCAGUGUAUUGGGCCACCCCUUCAUUUUUCUAGGUUGCAGAGGGUGGUGUCUAGAGGGUGGGGUCUACAGCCAGACUUCCCCACCACCUGCUACCUGAUGGCCUUGGGCACCAGCCUCAGUUUCCUCAUCUGUUGAAUAGCCUGAGAUGCAGGUAGAAAGUUUAGCAUACAGCCUGAGUGAGCGCAAACACAAAGGAGUGGUGUGCUGUGAGUCCAAGGCAGUGGAGGAGUGCUAGAAGGGGAGGGAGCAUGUUGAAGGACACAGAACACCAGAUCAGGGGGCUUUGUUUUGUCCUCCAGGUGAUGGGGCCUGUGGAGGUUUUUAAAUAGGGAAAGACACCAUCUGAAUGUUUUAAACCAGUUGGACGGUAGUACCAUAAACCAUCCAAGAAGACACAGGCUCCCUACACUCCCCAGUAGCAAAAUGGUCCACUCCCC
rnacentral:lncRNA from 1 species